GGGCUCCCAACGUGUUGGGAUUACAGGUGUGAGCCACUGCGCCUGGCCCAGAUGUGUUUUCAUAGGUGAAUGUUAUAUUUAGUUUCCCAGAAAAUAUUCAUAAGCACAUCCUUUAUGCCAAGUACUGUCCAGAGAACAGGACAAGCAAAAUAUCCUGCCUUCAUGCAGCAUAAAUUCCAGCAGAUGACUGGAACUGAUUUGACAUAACCAUCGUAUGCAUGGAGGAGCUGAGAACAGUAAUCUGCAGAAGCAAAAGUAUGAAACAGCUGGGCAAAGAUGCACAGAGGUGAGAGAGACGAAGAGAAUGGCCUCUGGUUUUUGCUGAGCUUCCACUUCUUGGUUCUGCCCCUUCCCCCCAGUCACCUUUACCUUUGAGAUACCCCCAUAAUCUUAUAAUAAACAUUCAUUUUUUACUUAACCUAGUAGCCUUCUGAAACUUGGAAUUAAAAAGACUAUGGCUAUGGCCCUAGGAUCUAACAGAUGAAAAAUGUAUUAUGUCACCAGUAACAUAGGUGGUAAAACAAACAUUUGUUUGAAUGCAGCAAAUUAGAAAGAGAUGGGACUCAUUGCCCAAGGCCACCAAUACUAAGAGCAGCGAUACACAAAUGGCCCAUAAAAAAAGAAAUGUUUCUAUAAAAAGCAGAGCCAAGAACUCCAAAAAACUCAUCAGUCUGGGGCCAUUUAGUUUAGAGACCUCAGUGUGCCUUAGGGUGUCAUUUGGUUAUAGUUAUGUAAGACUAACAUUUGUCACAAUGGCCUUGAGCCACAAAAGGCCAGUCGGAAGAGACAGUGUCAUUUGUUCAGGAGAAUCUACAAUGAAAAAAUGUUUAAAUUAAAUGUUUAGGCAUUUAAAGAUGUAAGACUCGCUUAUCUGGCACAUAGACAUUGUGAAAUACGUCAUUGUAUAACAGAAUGACAGAUACGUGUGGCACACAGUAUAAUUAUACAUACUUCCAGAAACAGAACGUCUAAAUAAAGAACAAGUUGAUAGCAGAAGUGAGGAAUAAAUUAUUUUAUAAUUUUGCUGUUGCUUUCCCCGGGUAGUCCUUGAGACUGAAUCUAUUGUGGAACAA